rnacentral:rRNA from 1 species
CAGCCGCCGCGGUAAUACGAAGGGUGCAAGCGUUACUCGGGAUUACUGGGCGUAAAGCGUGCGUAGGUGGUGGUUUAAGUCCGUUGUGAAAGCCCUGGGCUCAACCUGGGAAUUGCAGUGGAUACUGGGUCACUAGAGUGUGGUAGAGGAUAGUGGAAUUUCCGGUGUAGCAGUGAAAUGCGUAGAGAUCGGAAGGAACAUCUGUGGCGAAGGCGACUAUCUGGGCCAACACUGACACUGAGGCACGAAAGCGUGGGGAGCAAACAGGAUUAGAUACCCCUGUAGUCCCUGUCUCUUAUAA